rnacentral:tRNA from 1 species
GGACGUUUAGCUCAGCGGGAGAGCGUUUCCCUGACACGGAAAAGGUCACAGGUUCAAAUCCUGUAACGUCCA